AUUUUAUCUAUAUUAUUAUAGGUAUAUUAUAAUAUUAUUCAAUAUUGUUAAACGUAUCUAAAUAAUAAUUUAAGAUCGUUUAAAAUCGUAUCUAAUGUGUUACCUACGGGUACUCUAGUAGUAUAAUAUAGUACAUUACUAUAAAACUAUAUUAUCGUUUUCCCGCGAGACAAAAUGGAAAAAUAACAUUUAGAACACCGUCGUUGCGUUGCGUCGCCUAUCGUUUUGUGGGUAGGGGAAAAAUUCAAAAAAUGGUGAUAUUUUUUUUUAUUACAACACGCCCGAUCGGUUAGUCGACCGUUUCGAAAAUUCACUAUGCCGUUCCGGAGUGGGCCUUCGAGCCGACUCCGUUGUCCAUAACGCGUCUCGGACUGAUCUGAAAUGCGGCACUCGCAACCGCGUCGCGGGGAAAUUUCUGCCGGCGCGGAUAAUGAAUAUCCGGGUGCGCGUGGUGACUGCGACGAUAUUACCGGAUCGAAUAAAAAACCGACGGAACCAUUCGGACGAUGCUGGUGUUUCCACUGCGGUUCUACGGCUACAACGGCGCUCUUGAGUUAUCGCCACAAACGCGCGCUGUGAGAAAACACGCGUUCGGCACGACCGUCGGUUUUUUUUCGUUUUUUUUCUUUCGUCCGCGACGUCGGUUUCGAUAUCGGAACGGCCCGUUCUGUCAAACGUGUAACAGAACGGUCCGUCGGCGCGUUGAUGUUUUUUGCCGUUUUAGUUUCGGGAAGAGGGGGAGGUGAUGGGGCGGCGAUCCCCGCGGCUCGGUCGCGAAUCGAACAGCGACAACGGUUUACGCGUCGGGCGCGCGAUUGUCGAAACCAACGGCACGCGAUUGUCGCGAGUCCCGCGGUACCCGGAUUUCCGCUGUCGCGCGCGUCCGCGAGACGGUCCGGAAACCCAACGCCGUUUACGCCGGCACGCGUCUCGGGAAUCGACACUGGACACGGCGGGCCGCGAUCCGAACAAAUCUCCGGUCGACGGGGAAAAACCGCGGCCGUCGGCGCGAGACGCGGUCGAACGUCUCGUUCGGCCGGCGCGUGACCCCCCGGACGGUGCGGCGGGAUCGGAUCGUAUGCGCGCGAAACUGCAAAACAACCGGCCGCGGCGUAUCGUUUCGUGUAUUCGUUUGCGCGCGUGCACCGUCGGCAAUGCGCCGCGUUACGAACGUCUCGCGCUUAGUCCAAUAAGAACGGCCGAUGGCGACUACGACAAUAAUAACAACGAAAAAUUUUCCCGUUUAUCCUGUACGACGAUCUCCUAAAACGGACGGUUAACGUGCGUUGCGUUCAACGCGCGUUCCGGUGUGGCGCGGAGGAAAUCCGGCCACGCAAAACGGUAUCGCUGUCGUAUCGCGCACGGCAUUGUCG